CCCCUCUCAGGGUCGCACCUGAAGAGUUUCCAGUACUCUCCAGUCUUGGCUACAUGAGGCAGAGUCAAGCAGAGGCCUAUCCAUUCCAUUCCUAGCUUGGUCAGUGGCUAGCGACUGGAAGGCCAUCUGCUACAAAU
rfam:Ornithorhynchus anatinus chromosome X3, whole genome shotgun sequence.